rnacentral:rRNA from 1 species
CCAGCAGCCGCGGUAAUUCCGGCUCCAAUAGCGUAUAUUACAGUUGUUGCAGUUAAAAAGCUCGUAGUCUGAUGUAAUGGGGACGGGAGUGGGGAGCAGCGAUGCUCUGCGCUUCGGUUUCCAUCAGGGGGUCAGCAAUGGCCCGGUUUACUUUGAGGAAAUUAGAGUGUUCAAAGCAGGCGAUUGCUUGGAUACUGCAGCAUGGAAUAAUGGAAUAGGACUCGCGUCUUAUUUUGUUGGUUUGGAGAUGUGAGUAAUGAUGAAUAGGGACAGUUGGGGGCAUUGGUAUUCAGUAGUCAGAGGUGGAAUUCUCGGAUUUGUUAAAGACUAACUUAUGCGAAAGCAUUUGCCAAGGAUGUUUUCAUUAAUCAAGAACGAAAGU